GGAAAACUUCAAAAACCCCCCCUGUGGUUUCGUGCAUUCUCACUUUGCUACCCUGUGGUUUAAAAACGUAUCAUUUUGUCUCCCUGUGGUUUCGUUUUUAUCUUUUUGUUAUCAAUUUUAUUAUUAUUUUUUUUUAAAAUCAGUGACAAAAUUAAAAUUAAAGGAUACUAAAGUGACUAUUCGAUAAAUAUAGAUGGUUAUCUGAAGUUUUUUGUAUAUAAUUUAACGAAAUAUUAACGAAAAAACUUCCGAAAAGAUAAAAAUGAAACCACAGGGGGGUAAAUUGAUACAUUUUAAACUACAGGGUAGCAAAGUGAGAAUGCACGAAACCACAGGGGGGGUUUUUGAAGUUUUCCCU
rnacentral:lncRNA from 1 species